rnacentral:rRNA from 1 species
UACGGGGGGGCAAGCGUUGUUCGGCAUUACUGGGCGUAAAGGGCUCGUAGGCGGCCAACUAAGUCGAACGUGAAAUCCCUGGGCUCAACCCAGGAACUGCGUCCGAUACUGGUUGGCUUGAAUCCGGGAGAGGGAUGUGGAAUUCCAGGUGUAGCGGUGAAAUGCGUAGAUAUCUGGAGGAACACCGGUGGCGAAGGCGACAUCCUGGACCGGUAUUGACGCUGAGGCGCGAAAGCCAGGGGAGCAAACGGG